rnacentral:lncRNA from 1 species
CCAGGUGCAAAGUGGGAAGUGUGAGUCCUCAGUCUUGGGCUAUUCGGCCACGUGCCUGCCGGACAUGGGACGCUGGAGGGUCAGCAGCGUGGAGUCCUGGCCUUUUGCGUCCACGGGUGGGAAAUUGGCCAUUGCCACGGCGGGAACUGGGACUCAGGCUGCCUCCCGGCCGUUUCUCAUCAGUCCACUGGACUCGUGGGCGCUCGCACUGGCGCUGAUGUAGUUUCCUGACCUCUGACCCGUAUUGUCUCCAGAUUAAAGGUACGACAUUUGGAGGCCCCAGCGAGAAACGCCACCGGGCGAGAGCCGGGCCCGCUGUGUGCUCCCCCGGAAGGACAGCCAGCUUGUAGGGGGGAGCGCCACCUGAAAAAAAAUUUCCAGGUCCCCAAAGGGUGACCGUCUUCCGGAGGACAGCGGAUCGACUACCAUGUGGGUGCCCACAAAAAUUCCACCUCUGAGUCCUCAACUGCUGACCCCGGGGUCAGGCCCCUGGAUCCUCCUGGAAUCCCCGAUCCCUGUUGCUCCCUGGCGGAGUUUUCUAGUCCCUCUUACUUGAAGCAUGUCUUUCAGAGCCCGGCACCACCCAUCUUGAGUAUCUGAUGGAUUUUCACAUCUCAAGCCAGCUGAGAGUAUGGGAAAUAGGACUCGUUAAAGCACAGAUAUCACACAAGUGAUUCAGAUUCACGAGGGUAACCCAGAUGAAGGUAUAUCGUUGUACCUGGCCCGCAUCACUUAGUAACUGUCACCUUUGAUUUAUUGAUUUACUUGAGAUGGAGUUUGGUUCUGUACCCGAGGCUGGAGUGCAAUGGCGUGAUCUCUGCUCACUACAACCUCUGCCUCCCAGGUUCAGAGUGAUUCUCCUGCCUCAGCCUCUUUAGCUGGGAUUACAGGCACCCACCAACAUGCCCAGCUAAUUUUUGUAUUUUUAGUAGAGAGGAGCUUUCACCAUAAUGGCCAGGCUGGUCUUGAACCUCAAAUGAUCUGCCCACCAUGGCCUCCCAAAGUGCUAGGAUUACAGGCUGGAGCUACAGAGCCCAGCCUGUCACCUUGAUUUAAAUGAAUGCAGCUUUCUUGGUGUCUUGAUGUUUGUGAGUUUCUGUGGAGUUUGAUACUGCUCCUUUUGCUGCUUGUUCUGUUUUUCCAGAGUCCCCUUAUCACUUGACGUGCUGUUAUAUUAUGUUUGAUUUAUUACAGAUACCCCAUCAGCCUGAGUCUCUUAAAGGCCUUUAUACACACAUGUCUACACAUAGGGAUUUGGAUUAUCUCGGGAUCCCACAUCCUCGCUGUCCCCUGUCCCCCCGCAACAUCCCCCACCAAUACCUUUCUGAAGUUUUCUAGUCCCUCCUUUUAGUUUGUGCUCCUUAAAGCCCAGCCCCAUGCCUGACUUUGGUUCCCAGUGAGCAUUGUACAUUUGUGGAUAUUAAAUCUUUGGCAAAGUCAUUUACCUGGG